ensembl:lncRNA
GUGUGUUUGUGUAAGUGUGUUUCUGUGUGUGUUUGUGUGUGUGUGUGUGUGUGUGUGAGGCCUGUCAGGUGUUUUGGUCUUUGUUUUGCUCAGUGCCUGCCAGCAUAGCGGUCUCUGCUAGCACUUGUGCCCCUUUCUUCGAGGGCCGCAGCAGGAAAGCGUCUGAAAACACAAGGUACCCAUCAGCCCCUGGGGUCACGUGGGCCCUCCGAUGCAUCCUUAAUGCAGCCUCACGCUGUUCGCCAACGCACCCCCCUUCCCCGCCCCCCUCCCCCAUCCCCUUCAGCAGUCUCCAGUCGUACCCACACACUGCCGUUGUGCCACAAAAAACACGCUCUCACACACACACACACACACUCUGACUGUGCUGAGAGUCUCGUCUUUCACACUAAAUUAACUCUCCACUUCAUUGCCUGCCAUCGGGAAACAAAGCAACCACUUGUGUCUACACUUCAGGUGAUCUGACUGUGCACACACAGAGCGGCCUCACAGAGCUGAUUGAAGGUAGGGGGACCGUGCCGUGCCGUGCCGUGCCGUGCCGUGCCCUGCCGUGCCGCCCCGCGCUUUGGAGUGUUUAUACAAGAAGGCUGAGGAAUAAUGCCUUCGUUCUCGUGGUUCAGGUGCCUCACUUAGCAGGGUCAAGACAGUCCAUUUGAUGUCUGGGUUUAGGGCUCUUUCGGCUUUCUUGUAGUCCUUAUAAUUAAUAACACUGAAAGUCAAGAGGACUCCAACUCCCAUCCCCCCCGCGUGAGAUUUGCGCUGCGUAUCGUCUCCUCACCUGUAGUGCCUCUGUUCUCUUUUAUUUUUUUUAUCUCUAUGGCUAUCUUUCUCUUUUCUUCUUUCUUUCUCAUUUCUUCUUUUCUCCCCCUCCUAGAGCUUGUCUCAUCGUCUAAAUCAAGGCGAUUCUUAUCCUGGCAGACUUCCUGUUUCACCAGCAGACAUUUCGCACUGACAGCCUCACGUCUUAUUGUGUAAAGAUCCCCGGCUUUCCUGAACAAUUCACAGCUUUUUUACUCUCGCUCCCCUCCUUUCGUUUUAUGACAGUAAAGCAAUUUAAAUGUCAUUCAUAUCAAGCAGGGAUUAACUUGUCUCUUAACAGCAGCACUGAAUAAGAUUCUGUGUAAAUAGCACCUACGUAGCUGUCUGACAUCAGACGACAGUUGUGCUUUGAGACUAUUUGAAGUGAUGCACACUUUGCAUCUUUUGUAAUUAGCUCGGCGUACAAACCGAAAAAAGCAGGUUUCGGUCUAUUGUGGAAUUGUAUGUGGUAUUGUAUUGUUUCUAACAGAGAAUACAGAUUGUGCAAUUAAAUGUCCUUAUCAUUGUGUGCAUCACAUCUGAGGACAAU